GAAUAGAAAAGAGAUUUAGGUUUGCAAAGUAUCUAGCUGCCUUUCUUACUCUCCGAAACUCCUGCACAGAAGGAAUUUCUUUCCGUAGACACAGAGUUGAGUGUCAUGCUGUUUGAAGGGAAGAACACAUUAACAGAGUAGGUGAAAGUAUCUUUGUAAAAGCAAUCCCAUAGUUCUAACUGGCUGCAUUUUAGCAGAGUGACCUUACCGACAGAGCAUAUAACAUAACUCAGCCCUACAGCCAUUACAGUCCAAGGACAAGCUCAGGAGCCUGGCAGUGGAAAAUCAUGGCUUUCACAUCCAGUAUAGAUUGCUGGUUUCCCAUCCAGCCCAUAUGAGUCAUUGUGUAAAUUUUCUAGUAUCUGAGAUUUGUUUUGUGAGCUGUGAGACAUGAGUGGGUUUCAGGCCAUUUCCAAGUGGCCAUGUAUUUAAUAACACGACUAUGCAAUAUGUGGUACCCUUCUCUGAUCUCAGUAGAAAGGCCAAAGACGAUAAACUCCCCUCACUUUGAGAGGUAAUGUCUUCAUAGGCAAGCAUGGCAUACAUUAGUAGGGUGAGGUAACUAUCACUGCUGUUGUCUGUAUUGUCCCUGUUCUUAGGAUAUAUAAAGGACAUCAGUAUCCAGGACUGUCAGUAUUCAUAAGCAUAAACUCCUGUUAAGAUUACUGGUUUUGUUCCCUUGUACACCAGUCUAAACCAAGAGCAAUUCUACGGGGCCAACCUUUAUCACCCACUUGUUAAAUUUUCAAACAGCUACCUUUGUGCUUUCUCCCCAUGCUGUCCCUCCUACUUUGGGAGGAGGCCCCCAAUCAAAUCUGCAAAAUUCAAGAUUUCAACAUUUGUUUUUGUCACAAUUAAGGGUGAAAAGAUAAUCUCCAAGUUUUUUGGGGGGAGGAGGUUGUUGGAAUGAAGUAUUCUGAAAUAUUUUCUUUCAGAAACAUUGAUCCUAUUAUUUAUAUUGCAUUAUAACAUUGAUUAUUGCGAUGUAGUACAAAAAAGUCAAAAAACCUCAUCAAAAUGUAACAUUUUGAAAUUUUUCCAUCAAAAUCUACACAUUCCCACAAAACAUUUAGCUUUCCAUGAGACAGCAUUUUCCAAUGGAAAACUGUUCAGUCAAAACAUUUUCUACCAUCUCUAGCUGUGACCACUGUCUGUCAUGCUGAGUAGUAUUAUCUCAUUCUUUCUUCAUGUUCCCAUGUCCGUAUCUACUCAUUGGCUCUUAUAUUGUAGGUUCUUUGGGAAAUGGACUGACUUUUUGUUCUUUGUUUGUACAGCACCUAGCACAACAAGGUUCUGGUUUGUGAUGGGCACUCCUAGGUGCUACCUCAAUACAAAUGCACUAAUCUGGACACAUAGGCAGAGCUCUUAGGAAUGUUCAGUAUACAGAUUACCAAAGCAUCACAGUUUCAUAGCCAUAGCACCACAAAGCAGAAGGAGGAGAGCACCCGUGGGUUAUUAGGUCAGCACAGGAGGGAUGUCCCAUGAAAUCAGAGAAAGUGUCUAGAAAUGACUGACACUGAACUGUUUCAAAGUCAUCUUUUGUCUCCCUGGUUUAUCCCAUAUUUGGUCAAGCAAAGUGAGGCCCUGCACCCAAUUUGAGAGCAUUUCUCUGUUUGUUUGUCGCACCUGAAAAGUUCUGUGGAGCUGGAAAGCUUUUCUCUUUCACUAAUAAAAGUUGAUCCAAUAAAAUAUAUCACCUCAUCCAUCUUGUCUCUAUUAUGUAACAGUCAUAUACGUUAAUUUGUUCCUUGUUUGACCAGAGUACCAAUAUUGCUUUAUAUUCUAUAAAUAUCUAAGGCCUGCUUCUGUGCUGUUAUCCUGAUGUCAAUCUUGAAAUCAUUCCACUGAUGUAAUACAAAUGCAAAUCAAAAUAGAAUCAUGCCCCUAGGGAGUCAUUUCUAAAUGGAGAUCAGGUGAAGGAAGCAGACUCACCUGCUGUGAUUCAGCAAUGCCAUAUCUCAUCAUAGUGGCAAGAUGUUCACAGUUAGACAUAACUAGAUUGUAGUCUAUAUUCUUCCCCACCAGGUGCUCAGCUCUCUUUACCACAUGAGGAAGAGGUAAUGGAGGGUGCUUUUUAUCUAAUUGGUUGUUUACAGCAUAGCUUGAAACACGAGCCACGUUCCUCAGAUGCUCCUUUUGCACUUUGGCUUUGAAGAAUUCUCCAUUAAGCAUAUUAUUCAAUCCCUCUUCCAACUCUUAAAAAAAAAAAAAAAGACAGCCAAUGAGAGGUGAAAGAGGGUUGGCAGUUUGCCCAGGGCAAGUGUCAGAUCUGACAGGAAUGACUAGAUCCUCGCAAAUAAGUGAUUUUUUUUUUGGUUCAGUACUGAACUGGAGGGAAAAAAUCCCCCCCAAAAAAGUUU